GACGAACGCUGGCGGCGUGCCUAAUACAUGCAAGUAGAACGCUGAAGGAGGAGCUUGCUUCUCCGGAUGAGUUGCGAACGGGUGAGUAACGCGUAGGUAACCUGCCUGGUAGCGGGGGAUAACUAUUGGAAACGAUAGCUAAUACCGCAUAACAGUAGAUAUUGCAUGAUAUCUGCUUGAAAGGUGCAAUUGCAUCACUACCAGAUGGACCUGCGUUGUAUUAGCUAGUUGGUGAGGUAACGGCUCACCAAGGCGACGAUACAUAGCCGACCUGAGAGGGUGAUCGGCCACACUGGGACUGAGAUACGGCCCAGACUCCUACGGGAGGCAGCAGUAGGGAAUCUUCGGCAAUGGACGGAAGUCUGACCGAGCAACGCCGCGUGAGUGAAGAAGGUUUUCGGAUCGUAAAGCUCUGUUGUAAGAGAAGAACGAGUGUGAGAGUGGAAAGUUCACACUGUGACGGUAUCUGACCAGAAAGGGACGGCUAACUACGUG
rnacentral:rRNA from 1 species